GAUGAACGCUAGCGGCAGGCCUAACACAUGCAAGUCGAGGGGCAGCUCAGAAACAGCAAUGUUUUGGUGGCGACCGGCGGACGGGUGCGUAGCGCGUAUGCAACCUACCUUUAACAGGGGGAUAACGGAGAGAAAUUUCCACUAAUACCCCAUAACAUCGAUCAAGGCAUCUUGAUUGGUUGAAAACUCCGGUGGUUAAAGAUGGGCAUGCGUUGUGUUAGGUAGUUGGUGAGGUAAUGGCUCACCAAGCCUACGAUACGUAGGGGGACUGAGAGGUUAGCCCCCCACACUGGUACUGAGACACGGACCAGACUCCUACGGGAGGCAGCAGUGAGGAAUAUUGGUCAAUGGGGGCAACCCUGAACCAGCCAUGCCGCGUGCAGGAAGACGGCUCUAUGAGUUGUAAACUGCUUUUAAACAGGGAUAAAGCACAGUAUGUAUACUGUGUUGAAGGUACUGUAAGAAUAAGGAUCGGCUAACUCCGUGCCAGCAGCCGCGGUAA
rnacentral:rRNA from 1 species